ensembl:lncRNA
AUGCUCCAUGCUGGGUAUUGGAUGCAAGCUUCAAGCUGCUCCAUGCAGGAUACAGGAUAUGGGAUGCAUGAUCUGGGUUGCAGGCUGCAGGCUGCUCCAUGCAGGGUGCAGGCUGCAAGAUAUGGGAUGCAGGGUGCAGGAUGUGGGAUGCAGGAUGCAAGGUAUGGAUGCAGUCUGCAAGAUGCUCCAUGCAGGAUAUGGGUUGCAGGCUGCAGGGUGCUCCAUGCAGGAUAUGGGUUGCAGGCUGCAAGGUGUGGGAUGCAGGGUGCAGGAUGUGGGAUGCAAGCUGCAAGAUGCUCCAUGCAGGAUACAGGGUGCUCCAUGCAGGAUAUGGGUUGCAGGCUGCAGGAUGCUCCAUGCAGGCUGCAGGUUGCAAGAUACGGGAUGCAGGGUGCAGGAUGUGGGAUGCAGGAUGCUCCAUGCUGGGUAUGGGAUGCAGGAUGCAGGAUGCUCCAUGCAGGAUGCAGGAUGCAAGGUAUGGGAUGCAAGCAAGAUGCUCCAUGCGGGAUACAGGGUGCUCCAUGCAGGAUAUGGGAUGCAGAAUAUAGCUUGCAGGCUGCAGGCUGCUUGAUGCAGGCUGCAAGGUAUGGGUUGCAGGCUGCAGGCUGCUCCAUGCAGAAUAUGGGUUGCAGGGUGCUCCAUGCAGGCUGCAGGUUAUGGGUUACAUGCUGCAGCAGCAGUGUUGCAGGCCGUGGUGCUGCCUGCAGUUGCAGUUGCAGUCGGUGUCGGAGCCCCCAGCUCAGCUCCCCCCAUUCCCCGUUGCAGCCUUGGAUGGGGUCGAGGGGUUGCAAAGCUGCUGCCAAAGAGGCACUUGAACAAGCAAAUGCAGUUUGCUGCAGUUCGUUAGCGAGGAUUAAUUGGUGUUUGCACAAAGAUUUGCCUGCAGAGCAGCAGACGGGAACCGGAGCAGCAACGGCUGCCUCCGAGCUUUGCAGAGCAAAAGGGAUGUUUGCUGUGUGCAACCUGAGCCUGCUGCUCUGCAUGCUCCUCCAUGCAGACCUUUUGCAACUGGGGUGCUGCAAGCAGCUGGGGUUGCAGGAAGCAACCAGGGUGCAGCAAGCAGCUGGGGUGCAGCAAGCAGUUGGGAUUGCAAAAGCAGAAUGCAGUAAGGAGCUGGGGUUGCAAGAAGCAAGCAGGGUGCAGCGAGCAGCUGGGCUGCAGCAAGUAGGUGGGUUGCAAGAAGCAGCUGGGGUUGCAGGAAGCAAGGAGCUGGGGUUGCAGCAAGGAGCUGGGGUUGCAGGAAGCAAGCAGGGUGCAGCAAGCAACUGGGCUGCAGCAAAUAGGUGGGUUGCAAGAAGCAGGGAGCUGGGGUUGCAGGAAGCAGCUGGGGUUGCAAGAAGCAAGCAGGGUGCAAGAAGCAGCUGGGGUUGCAGGAAGCAACUGGGGUUGCAGCAAGGAGCUGGGGUUGCAAGCAGCAGGCAGGGUGCAAGAAGCAGCUGGGGUGCAGCAAGUAGUUGGGAUUGCAAGACAAACAGAAUGCAGCAAGCAACUGGGGUUGCAGGAAGCAACCAGGAUGCAGCAAGCAGCUGGGGUGCAGCAAGUAGGUGGGUUGCAAGAAGCAGCUGGGGUUGCAGCAAGGAGCUGGGGUUGCAAGAAGCAGCUGUGGUUGCAAGAUGCAAGCAGGCUGCAGCAAGUAGUUGGGCUGCAGUGAGCAGUUGGGAUUGCAAGGCACAAGCAGAAUGCAGCAAGCAACUGGGGUUGCAGGAAGCAAGCAAGGUGCAAGAAGCAGCUGGGGUUGCAAGAUGCAAGCAGGGUGCAAGAAGCAGGUGGGCUGCAGCAAGUAGUUGGGCUGCAGCAAGGAGCUGGGGUUGCAGGAAGCAACUGGGGUUGCAGCAAGGAGCUGGGGUUGCAGGAAGCAAGCAGGGUGCAACAAGCAGUUGGGGUGCAGCAAGAAGUUGGGAUUGCAAGACAAACAGAAUGCAGCAAGCAACUGGGGUUGCAGGAAGCAACCAGGAUGCACCAAGCAGCUGGGAUGCAGCAAGGAGCUGGGGUUGCAGGAAGCAACCAGGAUGCAGCAAGCAGCUGGGGUGCAGCAAGUAG